rnacentral:rRNA from 1 species
AGUGAACGCUGGCGGUAGGCCUAACACAUGCAAGUCGAACGGCAGCACAGUAAGAGCUUGCUCUUACGGGUGGCGAGUGGCGGACGGGUGAGGAAUACAUCGGAAUCUACUUUUUCGUGGGGGAUAACGUAGGGACACUUACGCUAAUACCUCAUACGACCUACGGGUGAAAGCAGGGGAUCUUCGGACCUUGCGCGAUUGAAUGAGCCGAUGUCGGAUUAGCUAGUUGGCGUGGUAAAGGCCCACCAAGGCGACGAUCCGUAGCUGGUCUGAGAGGAUGAUCAGCCACACUGGAACUGAGACACGGUCCAGACUCCUACGGGAGGCAGCAGUGGGGAAUAUUGGACAAUGGGCGCAAGCCUGAUCCAGCCAUACCGCGUGAGUGAAGAAGGCCUUCGGGUUGUAAAGCCCUUUUGUUGGGAAAGAAAAGCAGCAGGUUAAUACCCCGCUGUUCUGACGGUACCCAAAGAAUAAGCACCGGCUAACUUCGUG